ensembl:snoRNA LOC120102045 small nucleolar RNA SNORA17
ACUGCCCUUAGAAACAUUGCUGGUGUGGCUGAUGUGUCACAUGUGUGUCAGUAAGUAGCAGAGAGGAGAGGGGUUACGUCUAUGCUGAGUGUUCUGAUCUAUGAACAUCGAAUGAUGAGUAGCCUAACAAU